CCUACGGGAGGCAGCAGUGGGGAAUAUUGCGCAAUGGGCGAAAGCCUGACGCAGCGACGCCGCGUGAGGGAUGAAGGUCUUCGGAUCGUAAACCUCUGUCAGCAGGGAAGAACGGUCACUGUGCUAAUCAGCAGUGAAUUGACGGUACCUGCAAAGGAAGCACCGGCUAACUCCGUGCCAGCAGCUGCGGUAAUACGGAGGGUGCGAGCGUUAAUCGGAAUUACUGGGCGUAAAGCGCUCGUAGGCGGUAUGUCAAGUCAAGGGUGAAGUCCCCGCGCUCAACGUGGGAACUGCCUUUGAAACUGGCAAACUGGAGUGUGUGAGAGGAUAGUGGAAUGCCAGGUGUAGGAGUGAAAUCCGUAGAUAUCUGGAGGAACAUCAGUGGCGAAGGCGACUAUCUGGCACAUAACUGACGCUGAGGAGCGAAAGCGUGGGUAGCAAACAGGAUUAGAUACCCUGGUAGUC
rnacentral:rRNA from 1 species